GGGUUGUGAGGUUAAGCGACUAAGCGUACACGGUGGAUGCCCUGGCAGUCAGAGGCGAUGAAGGGCGUGCUAAUCUGCGAUAAGCGCCGGUAAGGUGAUAUGAACCGUUAUAACCGGCGAUACCCGAAUGGGGAAACCCAGUGUGACUCGUCACACUAUCAUUAACUGAAUCCAUAGGUUAAUGAGGCGAACCGGGGGAACUGAAACAUCUAAGUACCCCGAGGAAAAGAAAUCAACCGAGAUUCCCCCAGUAGCGGCGAGCGAACGGGGAGGAGCCCAGAGCCUGAAUCAGCAUGUGUGUUAGUGGAAGCGUCUGGAAAGUCGCGCGAUACAGGGUGACAGCCCCGUACACAAAAGCGCAUGUGUUGUGAGCUCGAUGAGUAGGGCGGGACACGUGGUAUCCUGUCUGAAUAUGGGGGGACCAUCCUCCAAGGCUAAAUACUCCUGACUGACCGAUAGUGAACCAGUACCGUGAGGGAAAGGCGAAAAGAACCCCGGCGAGGGGAGUGAAAAAGAACCUGAAACCGUGUACGUACAAGCAGUGGGAGCCCCACCACCAAAGCAUUCUCUGGUGUUGAAGGCCCUGCAAAGCAGCAUCGCGGUGGCGGAGCGUCGUUUGCGACGCCCAACACAAAAAACAAGCGGUGAGUGCUUUGGGGUGGGGUGACUGCGUACCUUUUGUAUAAUGGGUCAGCGACUUAUAUUCUGUAGCAAGGUUAACCGAAUAGGGGAGCCGUAGGGAAACCGAGUCUUAAC
rnacentral:rRNA from 3 species